AAAAGAGCCUCAUUUCAUUUUCACAGUAUCUCUCAGCAGAGCAAGCACUCCUGUUUCUACUGUGGGAUUUUGUUUUCCUCUACAGCAUGUCUUGACAAAUAGCCCUCUCUGAUUACUGCGCUUGCACAAGAUUUCAUUACAAUUUUGAUAACAUGCCACAAUCUUUAAGUUUCUGUUUGAUAUAAAGAGUCUGUCCCUGAACAGUAAUCAUGAGAGAGUGGGGAAUAUUGAGUGUUAGAGUUUCCAUAUUUUACGAGCUGCCAAAAUAAAUGAUUUAGAGCAGAGAAGCCUGUAUUAGUAGCAGAUCUCCAACUUCACUAAAGCAAGGAGCAGUGCUGAUGAGUAGGCCAGCUUGUGAGAACUUAUUUUUAGGGCUAUUGUUAUGAUUUCAGCCUUUGGGCUGAAGAUUCCCAGGUGGUAUGAGUUGAUCUAGUUGCAUGAUCUUCUCCGUGAUUGUGAAUGCUCCAUUAGCUGAUUAUUCUCUCUCCAGCCCACAUCCUUCUAAGCAUCUGGUGCUGGUGAAGCAAGAUUCUUCCAGGAGCUGAGCUUCAGAGACUUCCUGGCUAACAUGAGGAUUGUAAAAAAUCCAAAAUAGAUUGGAAGGGAAGGCUGCAUUCAUGUGAAACAUGGAAGAUCUGCUCCAAGAUCAGAGGUGAGUUUUAAAGGGUCAAGAUAUGCUGGUUUGUUAGGAUGGCCUUGGGCUUUUCUUUGGAGAGAUACAACUUGAAGAAGUGAGUGUCAAGGUAGUAAAAAUGACUCCAGUUACAGGAUUCUUCAGCUGGAGCUUUUCUGAAAGCUUUGAGAAGGAAUAUGUAUCCUCACUGGAUCUCACACAUGAACUAUGAGUUGGUAAAGAAUAAGGCAAAAAAAAAAAAUGUUUUUUCAGGAAAAAAAUCCAGAUCAUUUUGAAGAAGAAACUGAAGCUAUAGUGAUUAAAAACACCUAAAUAAUAUUUAGUUAUCCAUACUAAGCUGUCUGAGCAUGUCCCUGAUUUAGGUGAGUAUAAUUCAGAAGAUGUGCAGAAUGCAGUAGAUUAGUUUGGAAGUAGUCCUUAAAAGUUGUAAAGGUGUUUUUUAAGUUAAGCAAAUUCAGGAGGUUCACUCCUAGUCACAGCAGAUCCAAAUAUUAGAAAAAUACUGCCUUUUCCAGUGUACCUUCCAGCCUGUGCUCAACUGUUCUCCAUAGGUUAGCCUAGGAUGUUGUUUGGAAAAGUAUUUCACAAAUAAGUCUGUAGAACCUUUUUAUCAGAGAGAAAGUUUCUUUGACCUUAAUCCUAAAGAUUUGUUUAACCUACAAUGCAGCAUCUGCAGGAAAUAAAAAAUAAUUUAAUCAUUUCAAAUUCUGUGGAAUUUUUUUUCAGUUGUAGAGCUGGAUUUUCAUUCAUUUCAGGUUGGAUAUUAGGAAAAAGUUCUUCUCAGAAAGGGUGGUGAGACCUUGGAACAGGCUGCCAGGGGAGGUGGUGGAGUCACCGUCUCUGAAGGUGUUUAAAGGAAAGGGUAGAUGUGUCACUGAGGGACAUGGUUAGUGGGCACGGUGGUGAUGGGUUGAUGGUUGGACUAGAUGAUGUUAUUAGUCUUUUCCAACCUUAAUUACUCUAUAAUUCUUUGUUUUCAGGUGACACAUUCAGGUGUCCAGCCUAGGGUUUGUGUAAGAGCCUUCUUACAACAGCCAAAGCAAGGAUACCCAUAGGUGCAAUGGCUGAUCUUUCAGAAAUACACACCUCGGCUCACCUCAGUGCAGUUCGGACAGUGUCUUGAGCCCAUUUCUAUGAGAAAUGAAUGGAAAUCACUGAAAUCAGAAGAAGGAAUUAAAUGUUUGUGAAUACUUCUGCUUAAUUUGCGACCCUUAAAACUAUUUAAAUUAAAUUCAUAUAGCUCUCCUUCUAUCUCUAGCUCAUUUUUUCUUUAAUAACAUUUAAUAAUCAUUGUUCAUAUAUCUCACAAUGCAUUUUUUUUUUUCACCUGGAUAGAUAAUUUACUUUCUUCACUUAGAUACUUGAGAAAUCUUGUAGAAUUUCUUGGUGUCAGCAGGACAGAGAAGAUGUGAGCCUGAUUAACCUCUAGCUUUUGCUAGGCUGCAGCAGUGUUGUAGAUCAAACCUGACACUGAAGAUCUUCAGUUUUAAAACGGUUACAUGAGGUUGAGGAGGCAGAAACAAGAUUAGGGUUAUUUAUCUUUCUUUUAAGGCCAAAAACUUUAUUGUAGCUUGAUAAUUGAUAAAUAAAGACAAGAUUGCAUCCAAUCUAAUUUGAAUGAAAGCUGAGGCCUGUAGGUGGUCAGGGCUAUCAGAAUAUCGGGUUGGUUGGGAAAAUGUGUAGCAGUCAGCAAAUUUUAAAACUUUGAAAAUGAAGAUCACCAUUGCCAAUUAAAAUAUACAGCUGUCACAUUUAAUUCUAGCAUAAUCAAGAAAAAAGACUAUUAUCUUCCCAAGUGAGGUGUUUUUAACAUAUUUCAGACACCUACAGUGUUUCUAAUGCAUUUCAAAUUCAUGUCAUACCUAAUGUGCAUUAAAGUUCAUAGCUUUCUCUCAGAAUUAUUGAAGUCUGGAUUAAUUAUCAACAAUUAUGUGAUUUUCUUCCCUCUUUUAUGGUGCUUAGUGAUUGUUUUUUCCCCUCUUUCUUUUUCCUUUUUUUCUUUUUCUUUUUCUCUUUCUUUUUCUUUUCCCUUUUUCUUUUUUCUUUUUACUUUUUCUUUUCUUAAAUCUUUGUUCAAUAUUCUUGUCUCCCACUAUAUCAGUCCUCUGAGCAUUCUCUGUUCCUUAAAAAAUUUCAAUGCCUUCAAUUAUAUGUUCUGAAGCACAUGUCUAUUCUAAUAAAGUGAGAAAUCCCACUGAUUUUAAAGUAGUGCUUCAUAUGCUUUGAGAUGGGCACACACUUAAAUAUAGUGCCAAAUUGUGGUUUUAACACAAAGCUCCAAGGAAAUAUCUUCUGGGAUCUCCUGUUUUGGUAAAAGACAUUUCUGCCAUCAGCUGCUUGUCACCCUUCUUUGGCUCUGACUGAGAAGUUCCCAUCUCUGCAGCUUUGCUGGUAGAGCAUUGCUUUCCUGGUCCUGCAGGUCCCAGUGUCAGGUGGCACCAAAGGCUGGUGACAGUGAUGGUGGCAACCACAUCCACCAGCCCGACUGCCCUGGGAAGAGGCUGCUUGCCAUGGCCCAGCUCCCUUUCCUCAGGCACUAACAGAGAUGUGUAACUCAGAAAAGGCCUAACACAUACAGAGCUCAAUAUAAAAUUGAUUUAAGGUGUAGUGUGCAGCAUGCCAGGAAACACUUCAUUAUGAUUGUAGGUGUUACCGAAAGAGCACUAGUGUGUUUAGCAUUUUAGAUUUUCUACCCUAUAACACAUGACACAAAGUUUAUGCUGCACAUGCUUAUGUCAGAAAAGGUGUUAUGAGUAGAAAAAUGGGAAAGGAAUUAAAAAGAACAAACAGAGUGCUCUGUGCACUCAGUUUCAUAAAUAGCUCCUCCAAAGUAAUACCAUUUUAGAAGAUGAAUCAGAAAAAUACUAUUUACUUCUGUGAGCCAACAGAGCAAAAGUGAUUCAUUUUACAUGACUGAAACAUUAGACAUCUGCAGCAUGGUCAGCAAACUUCCUUCUCCUCUAUGCUCAUUAUCAAACAGCCAUUGGCAGAACCCAAAUUGAAAAGUUAAGUUUGUUUGUUUUGGGGACAACUCAUUGUAUUUUUUGCAGCAGUCCUUCCUACUGUAAGCUAACCUGUAUUCAUUUAGGGCCAGGAAAAUCACCAUAAAUUUUGUCCCACAAAUCAAGAGAUGGAAAAAAUUAAUGUGGAAAUGUGUGAUAAUUAAAAGAACAACAAAUGGCCACAAUUAACAACAAAAAUAUCUCAUUAUUAACUGGAAUGAUGAAUAAGUUGCACAUAUAUAUGAUUCACUUCCAAGAAGGGAAGGUCAAAUAGCUAAAGGGUUUUUGAAAGUUUGACUGGGACCGAUGUGAUUACUCAAUAUUUCUCUCAUCAGUUGCUAUAAACGUAUAUAUAAGCUCAUUCAAGCCAGGAAGGAUAGCCUGACGGAAAUGGCACAGCAGUUGAAUUUAGGUGCAAUGCUAUCUAAACAACUAAUCUUUCCACUCUUUGGCUGAACUAAGGAAAAAAAAAAUGUUUUAGGUCAACCCCAAAUGAAUUUUUUAGUUGUUUUUGCCAAAGUGAAAAUGAAAGAAAAGGUAUUUCAGUUCUGAUGAAAUUAAACACACUACUUGACUUACAAUGCUCCAUUUACCUAAGAUUUUUGCUUUUCAUCAUUGCAAUUUUACAUUAAAAUGUUAUUUUUUUACCUCAAAAUCUGUCAAUGUGGAAAAUCUGUUUGUUUUUUUUUUUAAAUAAAAAUGGGUGAAAAUAAUGUCUAUUUCUUAUUUCAAACACAGGCUUAAUGUGUGAUUUGCAUCCACUGUUAGCCUUACACAUCAGCUUCUCUAUGCCAGAAAAAUGUCUUGAUGCCCAAGGUAUGCCGUAAAAAUUAAAGGUAAUAGACCCUUUUCUGCUCAACCUACUAUAGGAACCUGCUUUAUCAUGGGGGUUGGAAUCGAUAAUCUCUUGAGGUCCCUUCCAACCCAUGUGAUUAUAUGGUUCUAUGAUUCCAUGAAGGUGCCAAAAAAUCUAAGAUUUUAAAGGCCCAAUUAAUUGGGAAGAUAGAUAUUAUCUGCAAUCAGUAAACAGACCCAACAAUAUCUGAGAAUUACAUUGCUUUUUUCUUUUUUAACAGCCUCCAAAGAGCCACCAGCCUUAUGAUAUCCAUAGUGUUCUAUAGCUGGUGAGAACAACCACUGUUUACAACUGUAGAAAAGGAAUACAUACUUAUUUUCAGACCUACCUCCGUUAAAUGAGCUCUGUGAAUACUUGUUAUUUCACCUCUGCCAUUUUCAUGAUGAAAAGAAUUAGCAAUUGCAAGGAACAUAUCUGGGAAUCAGAUAGACCUGCCCUGACAACGUGGUACUCAUUUGUUUCCAAUCCAGUGGCAAAUUAUUCUCUUUUUAAGAAGAGAGGAGGAGGAGGAGGAUCAUUUCUCUCAGAGGGAGAAGAAAAAAAAAAAAAAAAAAAGAAGAAUUAAUAAAUAUUUCACAGAAGGUGAACCCAGAGGUCCUGAAGCAAAUCCUGAACAAAUUACAGGGAAGCAGAAACAGCUGGAGAGAGAAUACCAUUGCAGUAAGCACACUGCCUUGACCCAGCCUGCCAGCGCCCUUCAGCUCCCAGCUUUACUGUUUCUAAACACCUUAGCAAAAAAUAGGCAGAAUAUCUCUCAUUUAUUCAAGAAAAAAAAGAAGGGGAUCCAUCCAAGUUCCUUUGUGAGACAAUCUGAAGAGGACCUUGGGGUUUCUAUGUUAGGCAACUCUGUGUGCUCUGAAAAGCCCUGCAAAGGCAGCUUGCAAAAAAAGAAGCGUAGGAGGGAGCUGGGAAGGCAGUGUGGCCUCAUAGGAAAUGAAGGCAAUAAUGCACAGCUCGUGAAUACGGGAACACCGCUGAUGUGGGAAAAGCACACAUUUCUUAUCAGCUACACCACUACUCACUACUGUACAAGGACAAGUAUACGGAGACUUUGUCUUUGAUCCCCCUCCCCCCCCAUUUUAGCUUUGUUAUUUGUUAUUAUUAUUGAUAUUAUCUUAUUAAUUAUUAUUACUAUUUCAAAUGAAUCAUGUAGGCCAGAAAAGUCAGAUUGGCCACCAUUUUGGUGGGGGAAGGAGAGACAUUUUUCUGAGGGGUCUCCAAAGGGAUGUACCCAUGCAGGUGCUGUGCUGGCGAAAUAUCUCACCAUAACAUUUGAGUGGCUCAGAGCUGCACAUUACUCCUUUACUUUCUUCUCCAUGGCCAACCUCCAAGGUUUUUUAUCCAUCUUUUAUAUGUUGCCUAUGUAAUCUUUGGAAGGAUGUGCUACAUUUGCUCAUAUAAGAUCAGCAUGACUGAACACUGGCUUGGAUGGAGCUCAGAUCCUACCAAAACCUAAAUGUUAGGUAAUGACUUUUGCUGUAUAUAGAACAUAGAAUAUAGGUCAAAUGAAAGAAGAAGUGACAGAAAGAGGGGAAGGCUGCAAUAAUGGAAAUAUCUUUAAUGCCACAAGCUACUCAAUAACUGAAAUCCGGAACAGCAUGAGUUCUGGGUUUUUUGUUUUGUUUUGUUUUUAAAAACAGGUUUAAGUAUUCAUCUGUUAUUCUUGAGAACUUCAGGUCCAGAAUGGAUAGUUUUCUAGGAAAGAUGCACUACCUCGUCCAGAAACUGCUGGCUCACUGUAGGACUCUUCUGGCAACGUACGACCUGUAUUCUGGGGGAAGCUGGACUGUAUCUUCAGAAUAGUCUCUCAUGUUCUUCAGACCUAUGAGUCUGAAUACUUCAACUCCAUUUACAAACAGUUAAUAAACUGUUAGUUUACUGGUUAGUAAACUUUUCAUAGGCUGUCAAUAAAAGGCUAAUCAGUCUGCAUAGUUAAGCUGCAAUCCUGUAACAGCUUCUAUUGAAUACUGUCUCUAAUGCUGCUUGUAAAUCCUUUGUAAAAGGAGACUUAAAGUGUUACAAUGACAAUAAUAAUCAGAAUGUGCAAUCGCUGCUCCCUGUACUGCCAGCAAUGCUGAUAAUGAGCUAACAGAAGCACUGCUGAUUGCUGCCAUGAAGGCUGCAGGGAGCAAAACCCUAAAAGCUUUUAUUAGCAACACCAAGACACACUGGUGUUUCUUUCCAAACCAGAAUGAAUCACCUUUUCUGUUUCUGGAUGGGUCCAACCAGUAUUCUCAUUGCAUCCCAUUGCAUAAUAUGACACAAAAGUGAUACCUGUGCUAUUAGUUAGAUCAAAAUACUGAUUUCAGUUUUAUCCAAGCAGCUCUAUUUCAUUUUUGUCUUUGCCAAAUGGGAAAUACAGCUUUGAGAUUUCAGCUAGGGCAAUCAGGUAUGCUGUUGUCUUUUCUGAGUAGAUAAAAUGUAUUGGAAGGCUUGAAUAUGGAUUACACUGUUAAAUAAAAUCCUGAGUUCAUAAGCCAGGUAAAGCAGUGGGAUUGCAAAAGUCUUACCACCACCUGACUCCGGCUUGAAGAGUAACCAUUUCAUGAGUACGUGUGAGCCUUAUUCAGUGUUCAACCUGUACGCUGAGGUGCAAACAAGAAACUUAGAUAGGAUGGCAUGGUUGAGAACUCUUGGUUUUUCUUUUUGAUAUAUAUUCACAAAAUAAAGCAUCUGUUUGGAUCCUUUAAAAAAGUUCACAAAGGCAGUGACUGACACAGAAAUAAUUCAGGCCACUGUUUGUUAUAAAUUUAGACUCAGAAUAAAGAUGGGGUAAACACCAUCAAAAUGGCUUCUGGUACAGCAUGCUCAUUUCAAACAACAGAAGCCACAUUCAACACAGCACUGCACAAUCACAGCUCCCCUUGGCUCGUGUGGAAGUUGUUAAGUGGCCAGCACCUCCAAAAAUCAAGUCUGAACUGUCUCCAGCUGGGACCCAACAAAUGAAUAAACAGUUACAGUCCCAAACAUGAGCUGACUGUGGAAAACUUGGGCUCUGAGAGUGAAAAUCUCAGUAGCUUUUGGCUGUACCUUUGUUGUACGCCUUAGAAACAAAGUUUAAAAACAAGAUGGGGAUGGGGGGAGCCCUCGCUGCAGGCUUUUUAGGUGCUGUUGAAAUAGAGCCAACAGAGCAGCACAGGGGAUCUUCAAGAAGCCAAAGUAUUAUUAAUUACUAUUAUAUUUAUGUGCUAAUGCUGGUAAUCUUAAGUAACUGUUUGUGAGAAUGUUUCAGCCUGGCUGAAUCCAGAAGUAUUGUGUAGAUGCAGUAACUGUCAAGAAUAUGAGCUGUGGAGCAACAAAAGCCACCUGCAUUGCUCAUGAAGGUCUGGAACCAAAGUACCGGAAAGACAGGGUUACAUGCCAAGAAAAGAAAAAUCCAUUUUGUAUGUUCUACAUAUGGACCGAGGCAUGAGGCCCAUAAAGAUGAAAAGCUGCCGCUAAUUUUAGUGGGAUGUUUCUAUGACUAAUGGGCCAUGUCAGUUAUAGGUUCUCUGGAUAUGCCACAGUGCCUGCUUGGAGCUGGAGGAGAAACGCUUGAUUCCCAGAUGGACACCCUAGAAAACCAGCAUUCCCACAAGCGACGGAAUACCUGUAAAGUAACGCUGUAGCAAUGGUGAUGAAAAUAAAACACAGUCAGAUCCUGCACUUUCAUGGCUGAAGGCAGCAAUCAGUGUAUCGUCACAUUGCCAGAGCUGACUUCAUUUGCACUUUGGCAAAUCUGUGCAGCUAAUCUGAAAUCCAGGUAUUAUUAUUUUCAGUCAGAAUUCCAGCAACUGACAUCUUUUGCUACUUUUCAAGUAGCCCCUAGUGAGUAGCCAAUGCUAAAGGACUUUGCCAUACUUGCAGGAGCGCAGCCACUAAAAAUAGUCAGGCAUGUGCCUACAAGAUGGCUUAGUUUGAGCAGGGUUAUAAAACACACACUGGACAUGUGAUUUGCUUUGCUGUCGUAUUUUCUGAGUUGUGAGCAGCAGGCUGCCAAAAUAGAACUCGUUUGGUGAUUUCUUCAGAGCUGUAAGCUUAAAACUGGUUUUUCUGUUCUUAAUUUAUGUCAUGGAGUCUCAACAGCAAUUUAAUGUGAAGCCUCAGAGUGGGGGAAAGCCAGCUACUGAUGUCUGCAGGCUGGUUGAGCGUGUGCUGGCAGAGGGCUGGAGUCAGAAGCUGUGCUGGUUACUGCUUCAAAGAAGUGGCUGCUCAAUGCACAGACAGUCUGAACGUUUUCUUUCAGCAGGUGACACAAGAACUGGAGCAGAAGUCUAGAAAUGCAGAUGGCAGCAUCUGGAUAUUGUACCUGAGAGUUACACGGCCAGCUCAACGUAAACAAACAGCAUAAAGCAUACUUCUGCAGUGGCUAAAAAUGCAGCAAAACUGUUUUCACCUCCAGAGCAGUAGUUCAUUUAUUUCCAGAGUUACCUUUGAAAAUGUUGAAAGAGUUUCUGACACUCUGAACUUCAGAAAAUGGAAAGGAAACUUUAAUUUGAAAUAAUUUCAGUAUUAAAAAUGAUUUCCUCAAUGCCUCUUGUUCCGGUUAAGAUGUUGUAUGGAAGUGCUGUGGGGUUUUUUUCAAUGUACCUAGCUAUGGCUAGGAGGAAAAAAUACCCAAAUAUUUCCUAGCAAAAGAUCCAGUCUUAACCCACCUAAAGAGAAGCCAUUUUUACCUUUUUUUUUUUUUUUUUUUUUUUUUUAACAUGCACAUGUUGGAAAUAGUUGUUUCCAAAUCCACAAGUGUUCAUAAAUCUAUUGACAAGAGAACGCCAUGAUAAUGUGGCCUGUCUGUUGAGAGGUAGAGGAUUUCAGGCCUUAAUACAUCAUUUGUUACAUAGGAUAAAUUAGUAAGGCACAUCAGGGCUUAUUUUUAAUGUUUUCUAUUUAAUUUUACUGCAUAAGCCAGCCUUGGCAGGACCUUGUCACAAACAGAACUGCCACAAAACAUUGCUGUCUAGAAUUUCAACCCAAACAGUGUGGGGCUCCAAGAAAAAAAAAGAAAAAGAAAAAGAAAGAAAGAAAGAAAAAAAGAAAUUAAGAAAGAAAGAAAGAAAACAACCCCCCAAACCAAAUCCUAUAUGCUAAAUGUGGUUAAUAUGCUAAGAAUGAAAUUGAUCUUUCUGCUACUUGCAACAGCUCCUUGUGAGACCGUUAAAAUUACUCAUAAAGAAGCUGUAACAGUGCCAUCUGGUGAUUGCUGCUGUACUUGUGCCACAGCUGUCGUGGGAAGAAUCACACGGAGGAACUGCACGACUGAUGCUCAGCUUCAGCUUAGCUGGAGGAAGCUCUGGUGCUAUUCAUUACUAUGGAUGUCAAGAAUCUCUGCUACAGUUAGAUUAGUGAUCUAACUGUUGGGCACAGAGGGGUAUCUGAAAGUUUCCUAGUUAAAGCUGGAUGUGAUUUUUUUCUUUUCUUCAAUAUUUUUAUCCCAGUUCUCUUGUUUCCUUCCAUAUCAUGAAACUACCUAGUGAUCCACAGAUUCCCCAAAAUGGCUCUUCCACGUCAAAAACAAUUCUUACUCUUUCUGUCUGGACAACAUAAUGUGUGCAAUCCACAUUUUUUUAUGUUUGUGAAAAAUAAGUAAUAGAAAAAAAAAGAUAUUGCUGGGGCUUUUUUAAAAAACUGAAACAAAACCAACCAACCAACAACAACAAACAAUCCCAAACCCAAAAAACACCAACAAAGAAAACCACUAAUGAGCUCAUUUCCUACCUUGCAGUUUAAGUUAACGUAGAGAAAGUAGAUUUACUUACCACUUGACCCAUUUUAUGUCCACUUGUCAAAGGAACCACCUAGAAGUUCCAAUUUCCAUCUGCUGAGCAUAGGGAGAUCAGCUCUGCCACAGACCUUCAGACUACAGGUGGCUGCACUGGGCCUGACAAGCGCCACCCCACUGCAUGUGUCACACCUUUUAUUCCUUCUUUGUGAAUGGCUUCCCAGGUUUCCUUACACCACUCGUCUGCACAGUGGAAGCUGGCUUUGGGUAUGUUUUCUCAGCAGUGAUUGCUUUCAGAUUCCUAUCCUGGAAACAGAUCCUUCAAGGAGGACUGGUUUCAUAGGAGGCUUUGGAAAGAGCCAAGUAGAUGGAGGAAAUGGAGCAAAUGUCUUCUGCUGUAAAAAGGCUCUCUUCCAAAAAGCAUGUUUGAAUCAAGGCAAGAUGACAAGCUGGCUCUGGGAAGAGCACAGUGGUCUUGACACCAGACUGACUAAUACAUAGAGGAUCCAUGGUGGGAGGUUGGGUUAUGAACUAAGGAUGACCAUCAGGUCCAUGCAAUAGGAAAUCUGUGCACAUGCCAUUGCAUUGCACUUCCCUGAACUGCGUUGAAGUGGGCCUGAUAUAUAGAAACCUCCAGGAAACUCUGCUCUCAUCACCAAUUUCAAGACCUUCUUCUUGCUGCUGGGUCCCAGUCUGUGAUUUAUUUAUUUUUUUAUCUCAUGUUUGGUGGGCAUUCCCUCUGUACUCAGCACUGGAGAGGUCACAUCUCAAGCACUGUGUUUGGUUUUGGGUCCCACACUACAGCAAAGACAUCGAGGCCCUGGAAAGUGUCCAGAGAUGGGCAACAAAGCCAUGAAGGUUCUGGAGCACAAGUCUUAUGGGGAGCAUCUAAGGGAACUGGGAUUAUUCAGUCUGGAGAAAAGGAGGCACAGGGGAGACCUUAUCACUCUAUAAUUACCUGAAAGGAGGUUGUAGCAAGUUAGGGUUGGCCUCUUCCCCCAGGUAAAAGUGAUAGGAUGAGAGGUAAUAGCUUCAAGUUGUGCCAGGCGAGGUUCAGGCUGGAUAUUAGGAAAAACUUCCCAGAAAGAGUGGUGAUGCACUGGAACAGGCUGCUUAGGGAGGUGGUGGAGUCACCGUCUCUGGAGGUGUUCAAGAAAAGGGUAGAUGUGGCACUGAGGGACAUGGUCUAGAGCGGUCACAGGCAUGGGCAAACGGUUGGACUAGAUGAUCUUAGAGUGGUCCUUCCAACCUUAAUGAUUCUAUGAUUCUUUGUGCAGGCAACUCUUUACUUUUAAAACAGAUGCAACAGAUGCUCCCUACUGAAUGUAGGGAGUGAAAUCCACGGAGCUUCUGCUGAAGUCCUAAAGGCUGCCCAUAACUAUAAAUUCAAUUCCUUUUUGCAACAUCUACAUUCAUGAGCAGCUACAGAGUGCAGGUGAUUCAGCCAGCCCCUCUUCAGUGCGCUGUGAGAAGACAAAAAUGAUAUAAUGACCACUACUCUUUUCUAUUUCUUAAUUAUUCAUGUGCCUGACCCCCAGGCUCUUUCUUCUACCACACCGAAUUUAUGUGCACAUAAUAUAUUCAUGAAAACCAAAAGUGUAUCAUUUGCUGCCAGCCAGCCUACGUCAAAUAAAUACAAAAAGGACAGUAUAUUACAAUGUGGGAAGUAUGAUAUCAAAAAUAUGUGCAUAAGUAAGGGCUCACCUCGUAAUUCAUGUGUGAGAGAAUGAAUAUGACAUAGCUAAGAGUUUUCAUUGUUAAUUUUUUUUCAAGCAGAUUUUAAUUGUUAACAGGCAGGAGCUGUGGCUAUGUGUGGUCUUUCUCCCAUCUUCCACUUCUGGCAGUCUGAGGGUGCUGGUGAGUAACGCUGAGUUUGGGCUGACUGUGAUGCUUUUGAAUCACCCACACAAGAACUUACAGAGAUGGAGCUAUUAAAUGAGCUAAAAUUCCUCCACCAACCCCAGCUGCAACCACAGAAGUGAUGUCUCUCAGGGUAGCAUCCCUGCCUUUGAUUCCUCAGAGCCAACAAUUAAUGUCUGAUUAGACCAAAGCCCACUCCUCUGAUGCAUUAUGGCAAAUCUUGUGGUUUACUGGCUACAAACCUGGUCCUGCUGCUGUCAGCCUUGGAGUUGCACACAUCGCCUUUGAUGAAGAUGAUUGGAACAGACACUACUGAUUAAAGAAGCCUGUUAUGAUUCUAAGUGUCUUGUACAGUGAGUUUCCCAAUUAAACUUGGGCAUUGUAAUGUACUAUAGGCAUUGUGAUUGUAGCUACACAUGUUCUGACUUUCAGAAAAGAUUUCCUUAUGUGUUGUAAUGUUACAUACUUGAUGUGAAAAACAAUCCCUUCACUGAAAAAUUAUUUCUUUCUGUGCAUGGGGGACAGAAAUGUCCUUCAGAUUCAGCUAAAGUUUUGUUGUUGCUGUUGUUUUCCAAGUUCAAAUUAUUUUAGGGUAUUUUUUUUUUUAGACAAAAGAAAGGCACUCUGACGAGGCAUCAUAAGCCAGUAGUGUUGACUUAGUAUAUAACCAGUAUUUUCCCUACAAAGCUAUAAUGAGGUUUUCUCUUCAGUGGCUACUUCUGAUUUCUGCUACUCCAAUUAACUCUUACAUGACCAAAAAGCAUAUAAAUAGCUUUGAGGAAACUGGAGUAGCAGUGAGUGUCACACUGGUAUACAUCCAUGAACAUAUUCUUGGUUCUUGUGGUUUUAUGGUUUUCAGAAAUGGUUGUGCUGAAUUCUGAUAUAUUUUUAGCAAAUUGUAUUUUUAAAAAUUAGCUGAAUAUUUUGCUUUCUUAAUGUUGAAAGGUUACCAAAAUUUAAUCUGAUGUGAUGUGACACUGUGAAACCAGCCUUGCAGAAAAUUGAUUCCAGCAAGCAGUAGUCUUGGUAAUGGUUUCCACUCACCCCUCCACUCCCAUCUCACGUCAAAGCCUUUUGAAGCUCCAAGUCUAUUUGGGGCUAUUUAAAUGGAGAAAUUAUCAAGCACAGCAAUUCUUUUCCCUUCCAUUUCUCUAAGCUUAUCUUCUUUUUCCUUCCAUCAAAUAAAAUUAAAUGUAUUAUUAAAAAAAAAUUAAAAUAAACAACAACAACAGCAAAAAGCAACCACCAAAAUGUAAAGAAAUGUGAGAAUUUUUUUGGACUUCAUGCUGUAUGCAUGAUUCAGAAUGCCUUAUCAUGCAGUAACUUUAAAUUUAAUAAAAUUCCUUAUAAGAGAAAAGAAACAGGAGACUCCUGAGAUUUUAAUGGAAACUUCAAAAAUCUUCUUCUUUUCAAUUUUGCUUUAAUGACAAAUGCAUUAAAGCAGUAAUUGUAUGCCUGUAGCCUACAUCUUUUGUAGCACAUGACUUUCCUGAGUGAAAAGAAAGUCAAGAAAAGUAGUAAUUGAAGUGAUGAUCAUUAUCUGGAAUGUAUAUCCUUAUACACAAGCUGAUUGCACACCUGGAUAAUUCUGAAAGCCUCUGGAACUUCCAGAAAUGGGAUGUGAUAAUUGCUUGGCAUGUGUUGGGGUGACUUGGAGGCAGCAUUGCAGCAGGAAUGUUCUGCUCCUAGAAUGAGAGGGAGAUUAUAGAAAUAUCAUUGCUGGGAAUCAGGUGAACACCUUUUUCCACCUUCAUAUGAAAGCUUCAAUUUAGAUAAUAUUUGGCUCAUAGUCUGUGUUUUUUUAGACCUAAAAGAGUCUCAGAGAGAACAACUGUCUCUUGAAAGGCUGCAGAUGUGUAGUCACCAAAGAUAUAGCUGCAUUAAGCGGAGAUUCUUCCUCUACUAAAGAGAGAAGAAGGGCAAAGCUGAGUGAAGGGAGUUUAUACAUUCUUCCUUGAGUUAGUUGUGUUUACAAGAGAGAGGCAGUGUUUUGCAGAGUGUGAAUCCUGGAGAUAUCCUGAGAACAGUUAUUGCACGUGCUGAUCCAAAUGUCUGCAAUUAUGGUAUAUACUGCACUUUCCUAUUUCAUCAGCGUUCAUAGACUAGCUAGAUAUCAUCCAUGAGAUGGAAUAACAUAACUGAGCAGAGCCAGGACUGUUCCUUGACAUAGUUCAGAGAUGUUUUGAAAAGACUGAAGUACUGUCAUCUUCUCUGGGAUGAAGUGUCCAGGUGAUGCACUUUACGUAUUAUGGUCAGAAAGCUCAGGGGGAGUACAUUUAGAAGUGAGCACUAAAAUAUAUCCUUUUCAGUGUUAGUGGAAUAGAUCUCUAUAUCCACUUGGAUGUAUUGCCAUAUAUGUGAGAAAUGAUAUGAGGAAGUAUGUGUGAGCAAUUUAUUCUUUAUGUUUUAAAUUGUCUACAAUAGUCCCAAUUAAACUUGCAAUAUUUGUAAUAUAUUAUAUAUAGUACUUACUGUUUGCAUUAUAUAUUUGCUUUACAAAGAAAACAUUUGAAAAUGUGAAAAUUGGGGAUUUACAGAGUUAAUUCUGGCAGAUCGAAGUAUGGAGGCUUAAUACUGCCUGCCCUAUUACUCCUGAGUUUUGUUCAAGAGUCACUUUUGUAUGUAGUGAAAAAAAAAAAGAAAGAAAAAGAAGCCAUUGCAGUAACGUAUAAAGGCACAUUCCCUUACAAAAAUCAACAAAUACUUAUCUUUAGAAUAUAUCUUCCCAGAGAAGUUUGACUAUCCCAUUAUCCUCCAAAAAGUUUUAAACCUAUUUGGAUUAUGCACCCCUGAACGUGUGAGCAGUAGAAUCAGAGCAGGCAUGAAUGGCACCAGCUUUGUGCAGGUUAUGGCCAUUUCUGAUACUUAACACUGUAGAAACCAACAGAAAGAAUUAUUCAAGAAGUUACACAGACACUAUUUCUGCAUUCGAGAAAGAUCUUUGUUUGCCUAUCUACUUCUGCAAUCAACAUCUUUGCAAAAUGCUGUCUUGCCCCAAAAUGAAGACUUCUGUAUGCCACACAGCACCACAUAGCGCUGUGGCUCAAAAUUUACCAGGUGUUAACCAAAGAUCAUGACUUAGGUGUGUGGAUACUGUCAGGUGCAUCUCUUGUUUCCUUUGGUAUUCAGGCAGAAGGUGGAGGAAGAAUCAUAGAUCUGUUAGAGUUGGAAGGGACCCUUAAAUGUAAUUCAUUCCAGCUCCCCUGUAAUGGACAGGGACACGUACAGCUCUAUCAUGUUGCUCAGAGCUCCAUUCAGUCUGACCUUGAAUGUGUCCAGGGAUGGUGCAUUCAUGUCUCCGGGCAACAUGUUUCAGUGCUUCAUUACCCCAAUUGUAAAAAUUGUUUUCCUUAUAUCCAGUCUAAAUCUCCUCUCUUUUUUUUUUUUAAACCACUUUCCCUUUCCCUAUCACAACAGACCCCGCUAAAGAGUCUGUCAAGGCCCUGAUACUUCCAAAGGAGACCAC
rnacentral:lncRNA from 1 species